UACAGAGGUCUCAAGCGUUGUUCGGAUUCAUUGGGCGUAAAGGGUGCGUAGGUGGUGAGGUUAGUCUGGUGUGAAAUCUCGGAGCUCAACUCCGAAACUGCACUGGAUACUGCCUUGCUUGAGUACUGGAGAGGAGAUUGGAAUUUACGGUGUAGCAGUGAAAUGCGUAGAUAUCGUAAGGAAGACCAGUGGCGAAGUCGAAUCUCUGGACAGUUACUGACACUGAGGCACGAAUGCCAUGGGAGCAAACGGG
rnacentral:rRNA from 1 species